UGCCUAACACGUGCCAGUCGAACGGGGUCCAAGGAGUGCUUGCACUCCUGACGACCUAGUGGCGAACGGGUGAGUAACACGUGAGAAACCUGCCCCAGACUCUGGGAUAACCCAAGGAAACUUGAGCUAAUACCGGAUAUUCUCCUUUGGUCGCAUGGCCAGUUGAGGAAAGUUUUUCGGUCUGGGAGGGUCUCGCGGCCUAUCAGCUAGUUGGCGGGGUAACGGCCCACCAAGGCUACGACGGGUAGCUGGUUUGAGAGAACGAUCAGCCACACUGGAACUGAGACACGGUCCAGACUCCUACGGGAGGCAGCAGUGGGGAAUCUUGCGCAAUGGGCGAAAGCCUGACGCAGCAACGCCGCGUGCGGGAUGAAGGCCUUCGGGUUGUAAACCGCUUUCAGCAGGGACGAAAAUGACGGUACCUGCAGAAGAAGCUCCGGCUAACUACGUGCCAGCAGCCGCGGUAAUACGUAGGGAGCAAGCGUUGUCCGGAUUUAUUGGGCGUAAAGAGCUCGUAGGCGGUUCCGUAAGUCGAGUGUGAAAAAUCUGGGCUCAACCCAGUGAAGCACUCGAUACUGCGGUGACUAUAGUACGGUAGAGGAGUGUG
rnacentral:rRNA from 1 species